rnacentral:rRNA from 1 species
UACAGAGGGUGCGAGCGUUAAUCGGAAUUACUGGGCGUAAAGCGCGCGUAGGCGGCUUUGCAAGUCGGGUGUGAAAUCCCCAGGCUUAACCUGGGAACUGCAUUCGAGACUGCAUUGCUAGAGUAUGGGAGAGGGAAGUGGAAUUUCCGGUGUAGCGGUGAAAUGCGUAGAUAUCAGGAGGAACACCUGUGGUGUAGACAGCUUACUGGACCACUUCUGACGCUGAGACACGAAAGCGUGGGUAGCAAACGGG